UACGUAGGGUGCAAGCGUUAUCCGGAAUUAUUGGGCGUAAAGAGCUCGUAGGCGGUUUGUCGCGUCUGCUGUGAAAACGCGAGGCUCAACCUCGCGCCUGCAGUGGGUACGGGCAGACUAGAGUGCGGUAGGGGAGAUUGGAAUUCCUGGUGUAGCGGUGGAAUGCGCAGAUAUCAGGAGGAACACCGAUGGCGAAGGCAGGUCUCUGGGCCAUUACUGACACUGAGAAGCGAAAGCAUGGGGAGCGAACAGG
rnacentral:rRNA from 1 species